CAGUUGGUGGGAUUCCAGACAGCCCAACUAUUUAGAUGGCAACCAAUAUUGUGUGGCAACAUCUCCUGCUGGAUUCUGGAACAAUCGGAAUUGUGGAAAUAAAUACACUUUUAUCUGCUACAGUGUGAGGAAGAGAACGACUGUGAGAGUUGAGGUGAAAUCAAGUCAAAAUGUGAAUAAUCCUGGAGUGAAGGAGGAGAUUUUACAGAAGAUAGAGCAGAAACUGAAGGAGAAGGGAUUGGCUGAAAAUGCAACACUGUCAUGGAGAAACCAGUCAGAUGGAAAUGUCUUCAAAAAUGACCAGAAGAAUGCCACUCUGAUUGACCAGACUUGCAAUUAAAAAUGAAGAAAUUAAGUUUUACUGGUUUGCUUUGUAAUAACAUAAGAUAGACUUUAUCCGCUGGGGAAUAAUAGGCUAGUAAUAAUGGAACAAAUAUGCUUUGAAAUACUUCCUCAAUCAUUUUAGCUGAUUAGGUAAAUGAUUGUGAUUCUGCAGAAAAACUCCUGAAUACUUUCAUAAAGCUUCAAAGUUUAACACCUUUUUCAUUUUAAGUGAAACAAGAUGAUCUAUUAUUUCCUUAAUGAGUGCUGUGGCUCAGAGAAACAUGCACAAAUAAAUAAAUAAUAAUAAAAAAAAUAAUAAUUCUAAACUGUGACAAAUAGUGUUUUUAAUUCAUAACUAACAAUUCACUAAAACAAAUAAAGUAUAAAGUUAAAAUCUCACUGCUCUAAAAUAAACUCUAAAAUAAACAAUGGACAAAACAAUUACAUGUUCUAUAGACACCAUAACACUUUUAUAAUUGUAUUUUCUACAGUAAUAUAGUAAUAUAGAUUGUUUUACUAUCACAAAAUGCAUGUGUAUGUAUGUGUUGAUUCAGUCAUUA